rnacentral:rRNA from 1 species
GUUAGGAAUAUUGGACAAUGGGCGCAAGCCUGAUCCAGCCAUGCCGCGUGAGUGAUGAAGGCCUUCGGGUUGUAAAGCUCUUUAGUCCACGAAUAUAAUGACUGUAGUGGAAGAAUAAGCCCCGGCUAACUUCGUGUCAGCAGCCGCGGUAAUACGAAGGGGGCGAGCGUUAUUCGGAAUCACUGGGCGUAAAGCGUGCGUAGGCUGUUUUGUAAGUCAGAAGUGAAAGCCCAGGGCUUAACCCUGGAAUUGCUUUUGAAACUACAAGACUCGAAUUCGGGAGAGGAUAGCGGAAUUGUCAGUGUAGCAGUGAAAUGCGUAGAUAUUGACAGGAACACCAGUGGCGCAAGCGGCUAUCUGGACCGAUAUUGACGCUGAGGCACGAAAGCGUGGGGAUCGAACAGGAUUAGAAACCCUAGUAGUCC